GAAGCGCCGGCUAACUACGUGCCAGCAGCCGCGGUAAUACGUAGGGCGCGAGCGUUGUCCGGAAUUAUUGGGCGUAAAGAGCUCGUAGGCGGCUUGUCACGUCGGUUGUGAAAGCCCGGGGCUUAACCCCGGGUCUGCAGUCGAUACGGGCAGGCUAGAGUUCGGUAGGGGAGAUCGGAAUUCCUGGUGUAGCGGUGAAAUGCGCAGAUAUCAGGAGGAACACCGGUGGCGAAGGCGGAUCUCUGGGCCGAUACUGACGCUGAGGAGCGAAAGCGUGGGGAGCGAACAGGAUUAGAUACCCUGGUAGUCCACGCCGUAAACGGUGGGCACUAGGUGUGGGCGACAUUCCACGUCGUCCGUGCCGCAGCUAACGCAUUAAGUGCCCCGCCUGGGGAGUACGGCCGCAAGGCUAAAACUCAAAGGAAUUGACGGGG
rnacentral:rRNA from 1 species